GCUCUCCUGUGACUCAGUUGGUAGAGCAUUGAGCUAAUGAUGCAAAGGUUUGGGUUCAAAUCCCAUGUAAAGCU